CUCAAAACAGAAGUGGAGAUCUUGAGUUUUCCUUUAGAAGGUCUAUCCACCUUCCUUGAGAAGGAGAACAGUGGAAUUCUGUGAACCAGAGAAAUGUAGGCAGCUGGGAGUCGAACUUAAGCACCAGUAUGAAUCUAUGGUUAUCAUCCAAACUAAAGGGAAUGAAAGCUUUACUCUGAAGGAACUGGGUCCAGUGCCAGGACCUGUGAUAGGUGCUGAGAGAGGUCAGUGAUUGGCUGUGGCACCUGCCCUUAUGCUGUGUACUCUCUGGCAUGAUUCUCCUUCCACCUGAAUGGUAGACUUCCCCUUGGUGAUACAGUGCAUUGAACUACAUUAUAGAAUUAGUCUUCAUUUUUAACAUGUUUGUAGAUAAUAAAACAAAGGUUCAAAGAAGUCAAGUUGUUUGCUCAAGAUCACACAGCUGGGGCCUUAGCCAAGAACCUAGAAGGAUAGAAAAGGAAGAUUUUUUCUUCCUCUCCUUUACACCCAGCGCUGGUAGCCUUCUCUCAUCGUUCAGUUCCA
rnacentral:lncRNA from 1 species